UGCAAGUCGAACGGAAGUCGUUAUGAUGAUUUCAACACUGACAGAGAAUUUGUUCAAAGAAAGUAGAGAUUGACUUAUAACAAUGGCUUUAGUGGCGGACUGGUGAGUAACACGUGAGCAACCUGCCUAUCAGAGGGGAAUAACAGUGAGAAAUCAUUGCUAAUACCGCAUAUGCCAUAAAUAUCACAUGAUGAAAGUGGGAAAGGAGUAAUCCGCUGAUAGAUGGGCUCGCGUCUGAUUAGAUAGUUGGUGGGGUAACGGCCUACCAAGUCGACGAUCAGUAGCCGGACUGAGAGGUUGAACGGCCACAUUGGGACUGAGAUACGGCCCAGACUCCUACGGGAGGCAGCAGUCGGGAAUAUUGCGCAAUGGAGGAAACUCUGACGCAGUGACGCCGCGUAUAGGAAGAAGGUUUUCGGAUUGUAAACUAUUGUCGUUAGGGAAGAUACAAGACAGUACCUAAGGAGGAAGCUCCGGCUAACUACGUGCCAGCAGCCGCGGUAAUACGUAGGGAGCAAGCGUUAUCCGGAUUUAUUGGGUGUAAAGGGUGCGUAGACGGGAAAGCAAGUUAGUUGUGAAAUCCCUCGGCUUAACUGAGGAACUGCAACUAAAACUACUUUUCUUGAGUGUUGGAGAGGAAAGUGGAAUUCCUAGUGUAGCGGUGAAAUGCGUAGAUAUUAGGAGGAACACCGGUGGCGAAGGCGACUUUCUGGACAAUAACUGACGUUGAGGCACGAAAGUGUGGGGAGCAAACAGGAUUAGAUACCC
rnacentral:rRNA from 1 species